AUGCCCGGGCGCGUGCUAUAAUGCAGUCGAGCGACAGAUAAGGAGCUUGCUCCUUUGACGUUAGCGGCGGACGGGUGAGUAACACGUGGAUAACCUACCUAUAAGACUGGGAUAACUUCGGGAAACCGGAGCUAAUACCGGAUAACAUAUUGAACCGCAUGGUUCAAUAGUGAAAGGCGGCUUUGCUGUCACUUAUAGAUGGAUCCGCGCCGUAUUAGCUAGUUGGUAAGGUAACGGCUUACCAAGGCAACGAUACGUAGCCGACCUGAGAGGGUGAUCGGCCACACUGGAACUGAGACACGGUCCAGACUCCUACGGGAGGCAGCAGUAGGGAAUCUUCCGCAAUGGGCGAAAGCCUGACGGAGCAACGCCGCGUGAGUGAUGAAGGUCUUCGGAUCGUAAAACUCUGUUAUCAGGGAAGAACAAAUGUGUAAGUAACUGUGCACAUCUUGACGGUACCUGAUCAGAAAGCCACGGCUAACUACGUGCCAGCAGCCGCGGUAAUACGUAGGUGGCAAGCGUUAUCCGGAAUUAUUGGGCGUAAAGCGCGCGUAGGCGGUUUUUUAAGUCUGAUGUGAAAGCCCACGGCUCAACCGUGGAGGGUCAUUGGAAACUGGAAAACUUGAGUGCAGAAGAGGAAAGUGGAAUUCCAUGUGUAGCGGUGAAAUGCGCAGAGAUAUGGAGGAACACCAGUGGCGAAGGCGACUUUCUGGUCUGUAACUGACGCUGAUGUGCGAAAGCGUGGGGAUCAAACAGGAUUAGAUACCCUGGUAGUCCACGCCGUAAACGAUGAGUGCUAAGUGUUAGGGGGUUUCCGCCCCUUAGUGCUGCAGCUAACGCAUUAAGCACUCCGCCUGGGGAGUACGACCGCAAGGUUGAAACUCAAAGGAAUUGACGGGGACCCGCACAAGCGGUGGAGCAUGUGGUUUAAUUCGAAGCAACGCGAAGAACCUUACCAAAUCUUGACAUCCUUUGACCGCUCUAGAGAUAGAGUCUUCCCCUUCGGGGGACAAAGUGACAGGUGUGCAUGGUUGUCGUCAGCUCGUGUCGUGAGAUGUUGGGUUAAGUCCCGCAACGAGCGCACCCUUAGCUUAGUUGCCAUCAUUUAGUGGGCACCUCUAAGUGACUGCCGGUGACAAUGAGAGGUGGGGAUGACGGUCAAUCAUCAUGCCCCUUAUGAUUGGGCUACACACUGCUUACAAUUGACCAAUACAAGGCUAGCUUUAACCGGCCGAGAGUUCCUAGGACCAAAAAUU
rnacentral:rRNA from 1 species